rnacentral:rRNA from 1 species
UACGAGGGUGCUAGCGUUGCUCGGAAUUAUUGGGCGUAAAGGGUAGGUAGGUGGUCUCAUUUGUCUCAUGUGAAAGCCUUGAGCUUAACUCAAGAAGUGCGUGAGAACGGUGAGACUAGAGUACUGGAGAGGCUAGUGGAAUUCCGGGUGUAGUGGUGGAAUGCGUAGAGAUCCGGAGGAACACCAGCGGCGAAGGCGGACAUCC